CAUCUCGCUUUCAGCCUGUGUGCGUGAGUUUUGGGAGGGCAUAUAAUUUUUCAGUUUGGUUUGCAAUGUGAGACACAUCAGUGGGUUUGGUCGCCACUCUCACUGUUUGCCCUUCUGCCUCUUGCAAUAUAAGAGUUGAAAAACGAUUCUGUGAGAUAGAAAAGAAGCGAGCGAGCGCCAGCUCAGGGAAGACAAUUCAGUUGUUCACAUGCAACCAGCAAGCGAGCACGAUUUUCAGUUGGUUUUCUUCUCGGCCGUUUGUAGUAGGGCUUGGUCUUCGACGGUGUGAGUGGCCGCCACCCGGCGUCGGCCGCCGACGUUGGAGUUGUCCAUCGUGGCAAUGGCUGCACUCAGACCAGGCUAAUGCACCAGAAUUGGACACCUGCGGAAUUACAAUCAGCG